UACGUAUGGAGCAAGCGUUAUCCGGAUUUACUGGGUGUAAAGGGAGCGUAGGCGGCAUACCAAGCCUGAUGUGAAAACCCGGGGCCCAACCCCGGGAGUGCAUUGGGAACUGGCAAGCUAGAGUGUCGGAGAGGCAGGCGGAAUUCCUAGUGUAGCGGUGAAAUGCGUAGAUAUUAGGAGGAACACCAGUGGCGAAGGCGGCCUGCUGGACGAUGACUGACGCUGAGGCUCGAAAGCGUGGGGAGCAAACA
rnacentral:rRNA from 1 species